UACAGAGGUCCCAAGCGUUGUUCGGAUUCACUGGGCGUAAAGGGUGCGUAGGCGGUCGGGUAAGUCUGAUGUGAAAUCUCACAGCUUAACUGUGAAACUGCAUUGGAUACUAUCCGGCUCGAGGAAUGGAGGGGAGACUGGAAUACUUGGUGUAGCAGUGAAAUGCGUAGAUAUCAAGUGGAACACCAGUGGCGAAGGCGAGUCUCUGGACAUUUCCUGACGCUGAGGCACGAAAGCCAGGGGAGCAAACAGG
rnacentral:rRNA from 1 species